rnacentral:rRNA from 1 species
GACGAACGCUGGCGGCGUGCCUAACACAUGCAAGUCGAACGGAAAGGCCCUGCUUUUGUGUGGUGCUCGAGUGGCGCACGGGUGAGUAACACGUGAGUAUCCUGGCCUUGACUUUGUGAUAUCUGCAGGAAACUGGGGCUAAUACCUGAUAGGAGCUCCUGCUGCAUGGUGGGGGUUGGAAAGCUUCGGCGGUUGGGGGUGGACGGGCGGUUUAUUAGCUUGUUGGUUGGGUAGUUGCUUACCCAGGGUUUGACGGGUAGCCGGCAUGGGAGGGUGGACGGGGACAUUGGGACUGAGAUACGGAGCAGACGCGUACGGGAGGCAGCGGUGGGAAAUCUUGCACAAUGAGCGGGAGCCUGAUGCGGAAACGCCGGGUGCGGGAUGAAGGCCAUCGGGUUGUGAACCGCUUUAGGCUGUGACGUAGCGUGAGUGACGGUAAUGGGUAAAGAAGCACCGGCUAACUACGUG